GCCACCUGUUGGGAGAGGAAGGCAAGAAAGCCAUGUAGGAGCCCCUCCGUGAAAAGGGCGGUUUUGUUCCGAAAAAGAAUCGGUGGGGGCUCAGCACCUAGAGCCAUUUUAGGGGGAGUCUCGGGUGUAGCGAGCUUUCCCUUGUUUCUCCACCUGUAAGGUCAUGGUCACAGGAGACUGGGCAACUCCAGUUCUCCCUGUCCCCAGCCCUUCGCCUGGCCCUGGCAAAAGCCCAUUGCAUCAGCAGCUUCUACUGCUUCCGCCUGCGCCCUACCUGCCAAGCUUGGGCAGGAAGAGGGAAGGAAAGAGAAACUUUACGCCAAUCCCCCCUCCUCUGCUAACUUCCCCUCCCACCCUCGGGCCCUAACUAGCCCCGGGACGCCUCCUCCCCACCAACGCAUCCAUCCCCAAGAGGAACAAGCGAGGAUCUCAGAGCGCGACCUGGGCAGGCUCUCACAAAAGUCACCGCGUUUGUGUAGGUAACUAAGGCCUACUGAAACCAGUCAGCCCUAAGUGCACACAGGAGAACCAUGGAGUUGGAGGAAAAGGCCCCACAAAGAAAGAAGAAACAGACAACCUGAAUCAUAUUCAAAAGAGAGUCUCCACAAUAGUGAGGGCUGCAAAACCGGGUGACAUGAAAGCCAAGAGAAUGAAUUACGUAGAUUUGUUCAACCUAAGGAAGAAAAGAUUCUGCACACGUGAGGGCCGAUUUUCAGUCCUCAGAGCUCUCUCCUUUGGAGGCUUCUUUGUUUGGGCCCCACUUCCAUUCUUCACAUUCAGCAGUUUCUGGGAGACUGAUCUUACCAUGGCCUGUCCCUCCGUGUUUGUCCCAAUCGCAUCCAGAUGCCUCUCUGGCCUCAUCUCCUAGUGUUCCUGUGUCCGGAAUUGGUGGGUUCUUCGUCUCACUAACUUCAGGAAUGAAGCUGCGGACCCUCGCGAGGAGGCAGAGGCUGUUGACACAAACUUACAGACUGGGACUCCAAGGAUCAGCCAGAUGAAAUGCUAUGUCCAGAGUCUUCAUUUCCCAGCUCAGUGGUGGACAGCAGAGGACUCUAAGGUGGGUUGCCCUGAUUGGA